rnacentral:lncRNA from 1 species
ACACACAAUAAUAAUAAUCAAUUUGCUGGGCAUAGUGGGGUGUGCGUGUAGUCCCAGCUACUCAGGAGGCUAAGGAGGGAGGAUCACCUGAGCCCAGGAAGUUAAGGCUGCAGUAAGCUUGGAUGGCACCACUGCACUCCAGCCUGGGUGACAGAGGGAGACUCUGUCAAUGAAUGAAUGAAUGAAUAAAUGAAUAAAUGAAUGAAUAGAAAAUGCUCUGAGCGAAAAGAGGAGAGUCUCUUUAUCUUUUUGCAACAGGCUAAACAAAAUUUUUAAAAAUGUAUAUUUGCCUCACAGAGAUUAUUCCAGGAAAAGAAAUGGCCCUCAGUGUCAAAGGAUGCAAAACUAACCUGUGAGUUCCUGGCAGGUUUAGCAAUAAAGGAGGAUGUUGCUGAUCUCAGUACAAGCAAUGUUAGAGAAAGGGGAAGAUGGAAGUGGACGAGGACCAGUGAGUGGAAGGUGACAAAUGGAAGCAAAGAAACCCAUCCAGACCAUUGAAGAUGCUUGAGCGAGAAGAAAGAGGCGGUGGAGGGAAUGGAAGCCCGAGGAAGUCAUUUGUUGCAAUAGGAUGCCUCAGAGCACGUGUAGGGUGCGGGGCAGAGCCCAUGCAGAGGGGCUGUGGAAGGCUGGCAGGGUGCAGGUGGCCCCACUCUCCGUCACCCUGAGGAAUAUGUGGUCAGAGUUAAAGCUCAGUCUGUUUCUGGGAUCAGUAUUUUGUCAUGGCAGCCCUAGCAAACUACUACAGGGACUGUGAGGGUUAAGAUGACACCAAACAUCAAAUGCCACUCCCUGUUCCAACACUGAGACCAUUCCACAGCCUCUGAAUGACAAGACAGGCCUUCAAAAUCAAGACCACCUGGCUAGAUUCUGGAUAUUAGCCUUCUGUCAGAUGGAUAGAUUAAAGCUUGCAAGCUGAAACUCAACAACUUAUGUAAACUUCUGGAGAAAUCACAGCAACUUACAUAUAAACAACCCUUGUGCCUGCUGAUGUGUGGACUACAGAAAAGGUACACAUGAACACUGUAUUCAGACUGCAAUUUAGAGAAAUGUGUCAGAUUACCACUGCAAUUGGAAGAUGCUUCAGAAACUCUAGAAAACCUAGUCUAUAGACUGCUCCAGACAUUACAGGGUUCACUCUCAAGCUCUGGCUCAAUAAAACUCAAUUGGUCAAGACCCUUGCCUCAGUCAGUCUUUCUGGAUAUCCACCAUGAGUCCUGCAAAGCCCUUCAGUAAUCUAUUGCCUGCCUAGGUGAUGUGUACCCAGCAUGGCAGUCAGCCCUGCAGGAACCAGGAUAAGAGAAAAGGCCAUCAUACCUGCCAGUCUUCCUGAAAUACAGAAAUGACUUCACGGCUGCUAUAUUGGAUUAAGGAGAGGAAGACGUCCUAUUCCUGAAGGAGCUGUCAUGGAAAGAAAAGUAAAGAAGGAAUGAAGUUUUGGAAGUUUCUAUUGACACAUCCUCAAGCCAGAGAUUCUUUCCCCAGCUGUGUGCAGUCUACCAGAGGCCAGAAGAUCUUGCCUGGCAAUUAUGAAUGGAUGGAGGAACUGCCUAUCCCUGUCCCAUUGUCUUGUCCACAGGUCAGCCUCACAAAGGGAAAGAGCCCUGGAUGGGAAUACAGUGGAAGCUCAUUCUCUUAGUGACCUGGGAACAUUGGCUCGAGAUGAAGCCUGGCAGGAGUGGCAACUCCAGGAAUCAGCUCUGCAUAGUGUUCUGUGGGUUCUCCCAUACUACCUUCAUGCCUGCUCCACAUUCCCUCACAGGUGUCUUCCCUGAUAAAUUACCUUGUAUGUCUAAUCCCAUCUUGGAUGCAUCUCAGUUGGUAAAAACUAACAUACCAGACUUGAUUCUUUGCCCUUAGCUUUUUUUUUCUCUCCCACAAGUAGUCAGUAACCAUGUCCUAGUGUUUUAUGUGUUACCUCUUUUUCCAUAUAUAUGGAAAAAGGUAGGUACUGUUGAGGUGCACUUCCUAUGUGCCAGGCCCUGUGCUCAAUACUUUACCUGUAUCUCAUUUAAGCCACACAAUAACCCUGUCACAUAGACAUUAUUUCCAUUUUGCCGAUGAAAAGACAGAAGCUUAGCAUGGUGUAAAAACUUUCCUGGUGUCAUAUGGCUAGUGACAGGUGGAUCUGAGAUUUGAUUCUAGGACUAUUUGACCUCAAGGCUAAUGAUGAUGGUAGUAAUAUAGCAGCUGACAUUGGUUCCGCUGUGUGUGGCAUAUUGUUUCAUUGACUGCAUUAAACCUUUAAAACAAUGGUAAGAAGAAAGUACUCUCAUUGCAAUUUUCAGGUAAGGAAUCAGAGGUUCAGAGAAGUUGAGUCUUGUGCAAGAAAUUUAUAACUGUAAACUCUUACAUUAAAAAAGAAGAAAGAUCUCAGGUCAACAACCUACUUUAAUACUUCAGGAUAUGAAAGAAGAACAAACUAAACCCAAGCACAGUGAAUGAGGGAAAUAAUAAAGAUUAGAGUGGAUAUACAUAAAAUGGAGAAUGGAAACAGAAUAGAGGAAAUUAAUGAAACCAAAAGUUGAUUCUUCAAAAUAAAAUCAACAAAAUUGACAACCAUUAACUAGAUUGACUAAGAAAAAAAGAGAAAAGUUUAAAAUUACUCAAAUCAGAAAUGAAAAUGGACUCUGAGCAUGGUGGGUCAUGUUUUAAUCCUAGCACUUUGGGAGGUCACA